rnacentral:lncRNA from 13 species
AGGGAGAAGAGUAAGGGGGAGAAAAAACAUGUUACCCUGGGAAAAAAACACAAAGACAGUGAGAGGAGAAAGGGAGAGAAGCGUUAUUUCAAGAGCGCGUCACGUCUUAAUGACCUCAUUGCUCUUGUAGUGAUGUGAGUUAUUUCACGCUAGGACAUGUUCAUGUGAAUGGGAGGCGGGCGAGGAAGGGGGGUAGUGGAACUGCUAACUAGGGUAUCAAUGCGGUGAAAUUUGGGGAUGGGAAUGGUUAACGGGGUCAUUUAGAUUGGAUGGGAGAUCGAUACGGAAAGGUGGAGAGGAGCUGUGAUGUGUAGCUGGUGUGUGAUUGUUCUGCAGAUUGCAUAGGGAGACAGACGGACGGAUGGACGGAAGGACGGGCAGACGGACGGAAGGACAGACAGACAGACAGACAGCGGAGGGGGGACUAUAGUGUCACACACCCAACAGUUCAAACAAAUUCCAACCCUAGGAUUCUCACCGGCGACGACACUUGAGGCUUCCUUGACCAAAACCAUAAAAAUGACCACACUGCUAAGACUAGGCUCCAACUGGCAAUAGAAGACGACAGUCAUGAUGGAUCUGACAACCAGGAAUGUAUUGUGACUUCCUUGUCUCUCAGUGGCAGUCCUCCCACAGGUGAACAGUGUCAGGAAAACUACGAUUAAUGAAAUGUCAGGAUGUUUUUAUUUAAUUUUAUUAGCUUUAUUUAACUAGGCAAGUCAAUUAAGAACAAAUUCUUAUUUUCAAUGACGGCCUAGGAACAGUGGGUUAACUGCCUUGUUCAGGGGCAGAAUGACAGAUUUGUACCUUGUCAGCUCGGGGUUUGAACUUGCAACCUUUUGUUUACUAGUCCAACGCUCUAACCACUAGGCUCUAACCUGCCGCCCCAUCUUAUCUCCCAGUGACAUAUUUAGAGUAUUGUAAAACCUCUCUGACCAUGUAGAAACAGAACAUCACAUCAGAGAGAUGUGAGGGCAGCCUUCUACAACUACAUGUGACUAUGUGUGCUACUUUGCAUUUCACAAUACGCAAUGACUUGCUUUUAUUGAUUAGACAUUGAAGUAAUAGGUCCUUACUGGUGACAUAUAACUGGUAUGUCCGCUAACAGGUUAAAUAUCACUCAUUUGACAUGUUCUAAUGAGACCACGUUGUUUUUCAAUUAACGACUGUGUUAGAGACCAGUCCUCAGCGAAAUAUUAGACGACACGUUGUAUAACAGUGGUCUAUUUUCACAGGAGUUUAUCAUAUGAUUUCAGCGGACUUGGAAAGGAGCGGGACAUGAGUGU